rnacentral:rRNA from 1 species
UACGGAGGGGGCAAGCGUUAUUCGGAAUUAUUGGGCGUAAAGGGCGCGUAGGUGGCCCGGUCAGCGUGCGGUGAAAGCCCGAGGCUCAACCUCGGGUCGGCCGUGCGAACUGGGUCACUGGAGCAGAAUAGAGGCAGGUGGAAUUCCGGGUGUAGCGGUGGAAUGCGUAGAGAUCCGGAAGAACACCGGUGGCGAAGGCGGCCUGCUGGGUUCUGGCUGACACUGAGGCGCGACAGCGUGGGGAGCAAACAGG